GAUGAAGAACGUAGCAAAAUGCGAUAAGUAAUGUGAAUUGCAGAAUUCAGUGAAUCAUCGAAUCUUUGAACGCACAUUGCGCCCGCCAGCAUCCUGGCGGGCAUGCCUGUCCGAGCGUCAUUUCAACCCUCAGGGCCCGUCCGCGGGACCUGGCGUUGGGGAUCGGCCGCGCCCACAGAGGCCGGCCGGCCCUGAAAUACAGUGGCGGUCCCGCCGCAGCUUCCAUUGCGUAGUAGCUAACACCUCGCAACUGGAGAGCGGCGCGGCCAUGCCGUAAAACACCCAACUUCUGAAUGUUGACCUCGAAUCAGGUAGGAAUACCCGCUGAACUUAAGCAUAUCAAUAAGCGGAGGA
rnacentral:misc_RNA from 1 species